rnacentral:rRNA from 1 species
CCUACGGGUGGCAGCAGUGGGGAAUUUUGCACAAUGGGCGCAAGCCUGAUCCAGCUAUUCCGCGUGUGUGAAGACGGCCUUCGGGUUGUAAACCACUUUUAUCGAGAACGAAAAUUCUAUUGAUAAUACCGAUAGCCGAUGACGUUACUCUAAGACUAAGCACCGGCUAACUACGUGCCAGCAGCCGCGGUAAUACGUAGGGUGCGAGCGUUAAUCGGAAUUACUGGGCGUAAAGGGUGUGCAGGCGGUUUUGCAAGUUGGAUGUGAAAGCCCCGGGCUUAACCUGGGAACGCCAUACAUGACUGAAAGACUAGAGUGCGUCAGAGGGGGUGGAAUUCCAAGUGUAGCAGUGAAAUGAGUAGAGAUUUGGAAGAACACCGAUGGCGAAGGCAGCCCCCUGGGACGAAACUGACGCUCAUACGCGAAAGCGUGGGGAGCAAACAGGAUUAGAUACCCGUGUAGUC